rnacentral:rRNA from 1 species
GAUGAACGCUGGCGGCGUGCCUAAUACAUGCAAGUCGAGCGAAUGGAUUAAGAGCUUGCUCUUAUGAAGUUAGCGGCGGACGGGUGAGUAACACGUGGGUAACCUGCCCAUAAGACUGGGAUAACUCCGGGAAACCGGGGCUAAUACCGGAUAACAUUUUGAACCGCAUGGUUCGAAAUUGAAAGGCGGCUUCGGCUGUCACUUCUGGGUGGACCCGCGUCGCAUUAGCUAGGUGGUGAGGUAACGGCUCACCGAGGCAACAAUGCGUAGCCGACCUGAGAGGGUGAUCGGCCACACUGGGACUGAGACACGGCCCAGACUCCUACGGGAGGCAGCAGUAGGGAAUCUUCCGCAAUGGACGAAAGUCUGACGGAGCAACGCCGCGUGAGUGAUGAAGGCUUUCGGGUCGUAAAACUCUGUUGUUAGGGAAGAACAAGUGCUAGUUGAAUAAGCUGGCACCUUGACGGUACCUAACCAGAAAGCCACGGCUAACUACGUGCCAGCAGCCGCGGUAA